AGUAACACGUAGAUAAUCUACCCUAGAAUCUGGGAUAACCUGCCGAAAGGCGGGCUAAUACUGGAUAGAGCGAAGGAAACCGUAGAGGUUUUUUCGGGAAAGGGGGCCGCAAGGUCUCUCGUUUUAGGAUGAGUCUGCGUCCCAUUAGCUAGUUGGUAGGGUAAUGGCCUACCAAGGCGAUGAUGGGUAGCUGGUCUGAGAGGAUGAUCAGCCACACUGGAACUGAAACACGGUCCAG
rnacentral:rRNA from 1 species